UCUCGUGAUUCCAUGGCUAGGCAAGGUGGUUCCUCACUGCUCCGCCUUGAGUCAUUCAGGUGGCUGCCUUGUGCUAGAGGUCAGCUGGAAUGUCAAAGAUGGCAGUUGCUGCUUGCUGUCAGUUAGGUCACUCAGGUCACCAUGUGACCUUUACUUCUUCAGUAGGCUAGACUGGCUUUCUUACCUGGAAGUGUCAGGGCAGUAUUCCAAGAUCACAAAGGCAGAAGCUGCAAGACCUCUUAAGGUCUGGACACCUGAACUCACACAUCACUUCUGCUACGUUCUAAGUCACAAGGCCAGCCCAUCUGCAAAGGAGCAGAAAAAUAAACUCCACCUCUGGAAGGGAGAAGCAGCAAAAUCAUAUUGCAAAGAGGCAUGCUUCCUGGGAUGGGAGGAAUUUGAGGUCAUUAACCAUCUACCACACAAGAUGUACAAAGGAAAUGAGGCGGUGAAGGAAAGAGUUCUGCAUGCUGUGUUAUUUUCUGAGAAGACAGAGAUUGUGGAGAAAGGAAUCACAAUUUAGCCAGUGUAGGCAUUCUCCACGGCACCUCUCAACAAACUCCCGCCAGCUGAAAGUGGAUGUGUCUGGCCUUCAGGCUGAAGCAGAGCCCUGUGUCUGUGGCAGGUCACCGCAUCUUUCAGGCUGCCAUUAGCGACCUGCGUUCCAGAGAGAUGGAAUAAGCCAUCUGAGUCACCUGAGCCCCAGCUGUUUCUGAAAAUCGUGCUCAGUGACAUACCAGAAGGACGGGUACCUUGAACUUGGAAGGAAACCUUUAUUUCACUACUACUACAAUCCUCAGAAAUGCUGCUCUUGUGAAGAGCCAAAGCUGCCAGCACCUUAUGUUACUAUUUGUGUUUAUGUGGAGUUUUGCUGAAGUGCAGUCUUUGGUUUCCACUAUGAGCGCUCCCAGAGCAUCCUGUCCACAGGACGGGAAAGCGCCCAAUUGCGAAUUGGGAGCCAAAAGUGACUACAAUUCCCAGCUUAAUGAGAUGAAAUAUCUUAUAAACACAUAAAAAUGAAGUCACUUUCCUUGAGACUUUAACACAUUGCCUUUAUUAAGAAGAAUAACAGUGUGUGAAGUCUAAGUUUCUAAGUUAUUGUAGCUCUGGAGGUUACAGCUGGCUUCUUAAUCCAGCCAACCAAUGACACCCAUUCAGUAAAGGUAACAAUGUGCAGCAAGACAGAGCGGAUACUGAGAUGUGGGAUGCAGACCAUCUGCUGGUACCGACUUGGUGCGCUGGCCUGGAUAUAUGAUGACACUGGGAGACAACCACCUUCCAAGCUAUUGAUGCUUGUUGAAUAGAGAUGCCUGAGCUGACAGACACUUACUGAAUGCGACAGAAUUCGGGGACCCCUGGGGCUACUGGUUAAAUUGUAGAUUGGAGAGAGGGGCAUAGAAAGAAUAGAAAGACAGAGUUUUCCUUCUGGAUGAGUUUAGCCAUCUUGCUGAAUAGGUGCAGGUGGAAUAAAGAGAAGAAACCCAAAAGACCUCAAAAUGGAAGUUACGAAGGGCUUAACUGAAAUCUGGGAAGUCGUAGUAGUACAAGAAUAUCAUUGCACACAAAUCAUCACUGAACAGAACUGCCAUCAAAAUCUGCUUUGAAGUUCUCUACUGCCCCUUUCUCUUCUUGCAUUGUCCUAUUCCACUCACCAGACAAAAGAUCUCUUAAGAAACAUGGCAAGUUGUUCAUCACGGUCAUCAAAAUGGCUCAAUUUGUUGGGUCCUUGCUAUGUGCCGGGUUCUGAGCAAGGUGUUUUAUGAUUCUCUCACUCAUGUGAAUUUUCAGAAGUAUAUGAAGUAGGGUCUACUAUUUCCUCUGUUUCACAUAUGGGAAAAUUGAAACACAGACAGUUUAAGUAUUUCACCCAGGGUCACAGAGCCAAUAAGUUGGCGUGCUAGAGACUCAGUGUUACCCUAACAGAAGAGGUUGUGUUUUCAACGAAGAUCAGGUACAGAAGGUAAUCUUUUACCUAAGAGAAUAACUCAUGAAAGGUGGGAUUUUAGACACUUUACCCCCUUACCUAGUACAAAGAUGGACUUUGUGACAGUAAAGUAGCUUCCUUUGCUCCCUUCAAAUCACAGAGCCUCAGAGGACCUGUGGUUUCCACGUAUUAUUAGGAAACAUCAUCGAUAUUACCCUGAGACACGGGUGAAGCAGAAUUUUCUGAAUACAUUUUGUAAAAUAUGUUUUGAAACUGUAAAUGUAAAAACAUUUGCUGCAGAGGGAUUCAGAGAGAGUCCAGAACAAUAAAGUCAAAGCGAAAACUGUCGUCUCUCAGAGGACAUUAUUGAGUAGGUUUGAAAUUUUAUUUGCUUAGAAUUGACCUGAUUCCAUUGUACUUUUGCGUAUAACAUGCAUAGUUUGUAUACCAGCAAGCACUGCCUAAGAAAAAGAUGCCUUUUUGAAGUGUGAACUCUAUGACAGAAAGCACUAGGACCACAGAAUAAAGGGGAUUAAAUAGAACAUAUCUAAGCCGGCACAAAACAACGCGUGGCAUGCUUGCGCCACCCUGUGGACAAAUAUAUACUUGCACUUCUUUUAGGAACCUGAAGGAAUUUUUUCACAUAUUUAAAUUUCAUUGAAAAGAAUUCAAUGAAAGGAAUAGCAAUAUAAUUUUAAAGUGCUAGGUGCCUAAUUUUCCGUUUCCUUAGUUAUCACACUGUAAUUAAGGCACAUUUAUAAUGCCCCAA
rnacentral:lncRNA from 1 species